rnacentral:rRNA from 1 species
UACGUAGGGUGCAAGCGUUGUCCGGAAUUAUUGGGCGUAAAGAGCUCGUAGGCGGUCUGUCACGUCGGCUGUGAAAACUCGGGGCUCAACCCCGAGCCUGCAGUCGAUACGGGCAGACUAGAGUCCGGCAGGGGAGACUGGAAUUCCUGGUGUAGCGGUGAAAUGCGCAGAUAUCAGGAGGAACACCGGUGGCGAAGGCGGGUCUCUGGGCCGGAACUGACGCUGAGACGCGAAAGCGUGGGGAGCGAACAGG